CUCUCUCUCUCUCUCUCUCUCUCUCUCUCUCUCUCUCCCUCUCUCUCUCUCUCUCUCUCUCUCUCUCUCUCUCUCUCUCUCUCUCUCUCUCUCUCUCUCUCUCUCUCUCUCUCUCUCUCUCUUUCUCUCUCUCUCUCCACCCAGCCCUUCAUUUCCAGCGGACAGAUCUCUCGUCACAGCCAGCGCAUUUUAUUUAUGCCCUCUUCACUUCUUUUGCACGAAUGGACCCUUGCACAAGAGAGAGAGAGAGAAAGCUUCUAGUUAAAGCAGAGGAGAAAAAAGAAAGAGAGGUGGGGAGAGUGGGGGGUGAUGUUGUAAAAGCUGUGCAGAAGUGACAACGCUACGCGCACCGGCUUUGCUUGAGAAAGACAAAAUUGUGUGUGACGUGACAAAAUGGAAAAGGGAGACGUUUUAAAUUGCAACCUUAAAUGCUAUUACUUCGAUAUUUUAGGUGAGGGGGGGGAAAGUAGAUUUGGAGGAGAGGGUAGAUAAUCAAAUUGCAGGGGAUUCAUUUUACUUUGAUUUGGAAGUUUAGUUUAAUUUUGGAUAAUAAUAUUAAACUCCUCAUAGGACCUAUUAUUAUUAUUAUUAUUAUUAUUAUUAUUAUUAUUAUUAUUAUUAUUAUUAUUAUUAUUAUUAUUAUUAUUAUUGUGACCAAUAACCCCCAAUUUCUAUUUCCAAAGACUGCCAAUUACGUCUUUUUUCCUUCUUCAGACGACUAUAUCUUAAUAUACGCGCAAGUCUCGCCCAAAACUGACAGCUGUUCUUCUGAUAGUAACUUCUUUCCAAGAUUUUUUUUCUCUCCUCCCCUCCCACCCUGGGGCCCCCCCAGUCUCUGUCUUGCUUUGUUGUUUUAAAAUAUGCAUGUCUCUCCGGAAUGCCAGUCACGGGUCCAAACUUUGUGUGUCCCAACCUCCCACAUGAUGAAAUGAUCCUUUUAAAGCGGGCUCAAUAUGUCUCAAUCUGCACUCCUCUCCCCUCUGUCUAAAAAAAGCUGCUGGGUUCGGGACGCAGCCCAGAAAUAUAUUAAUUAAAGCUCAUUUUGCUGGGGACGGACCUUUUUUUUUUAAAUAAAUCACUGAGGAGCAAGACGCUGUUGGACCAAGUCGAACUCUGUCAGCGAUGGAUGGAUGAAGAUUCACGGCAGCAAAAAGGAGGAAAAGAAAUCAAUGCCGCAGCGCUCACUUGUUCGCCCUGAACUGGCGGUGAACUCCCACGGCACGCCGCCAGCCUCUCUUCCCUAUCCCAUCACAGUUGAGGGUCACCGCGAGGGUGUCUCCGUGCCAAUAUGCAGAUGAGCUUGUGCCCCCCCCCCCCCCCGCCCCGAUGACUGAUGCUAAGCUCCACCUCUCGCUAGAGGGUCUUGAGGCUUCGAUUCAAAGUCUCCUCCCUCCAUUGCAAACAUAAACCUGCUCUCAUACGGACUUAAACGAGCCUUUAACAACUUAUGUCCACUCUUACUUUAAUGGGUGAAGAGUGCUCAAGCAAAUGGAUGUUAUCAAAGCUGAGAUGUGCACUGAUUUAGAGGCUAGACUGAGAUAGAAAGUGAAAAUGUCAGCCCUGGUACAAAUCAACUUAACAUCGUUCAUAGCUACAUGGGUCAAAGAGGAGUUUUCUUGCUGUAUCUUGUUUGUAAAACGAACCUGUAAGUAGUCAAAAGAGUGAGUUUUGAUCGUAGAGCUUGCUGAAAGCUCCUAUAAAAGCCAAGUGAAUGUUUUUAUCACUUUGCCCGCAGAUCUCAUCCUUUGGAUGACUAAUAAACUUACAUUGCGCUGCCUA